rnacentral:misc_RNA from 1 species
CCAAAAAGGAUACCCUCACCGGUAUACCCCACCCGUGUCUAUCUACUCUUGUUGCUUUGGCAGGCCGUGGUCUCCCACUGUGGGCUCUGCCUGCAUGUGCCUGCCAGAGGACCAAACUCUGAAUUUUAGUGAUGUCUGAGUACUAUAUAAUAGUUA